rnacentral:rRNA from 1 species
CUCAGUAACACGUGGAUAACCUGCCCUUAGGACUGGCAUAACCCCGGGAAACUGGGGAUAAUUCCGGAUAGUUCAUGGUAGCUGGAAUGCUCCAUGAUCGAAAGCUAUUGCGCCUAAGGAUGGGUCUGCGGUCUAUCAGGUAGUAGUGGGUGUAAUGUACCUACUAGCCGACGACGGAUACGGGUUGUGGGAGCAAGAGCCCGGAGAUGGAUUCUGAGACAUGAAUCCAGGCCCUACGGGGCGCAGCAGGCGCGAAAACUUUACAAUGCGGGAAACCGCGAUAAGGGGACACCGAGUGCCAGCAUCUUAUGUUGGCUGUCCGCAUGUAUAAAUCACAUGUGUUAGCAAGGGCCGGGCAAGACCGGUGCCAGCCGCCGCGGUAACACCGGCGGCCCGAGUGGUGGCCACUAUUAUUGGGUCUAAAGGGUCCGUAGCCGGUUUGGUCAGUCUUCCGGGAAAUCUGACGGCUUAACCGUUAGGCUUUCGGGGGAUACUACCAGGCUUGGGACCGGGAGAGGUAAGAGGUACUACGGGGGUAGGAGUGAAAUCUUGUAAUCCUC